UCGGUAAAACUCGUGCCAGCCACCGCGGUUAUACGAAAGGCUUAAACUGAUGCAUCACGGCGUAAAGCGUGAUUAGAAUAUUUAACACAAUAAAGCCAAACGCACCCCCAACUGUAAUACGCCUCCGGGAGACAGAAAAUCUAUAACGAAAGUAGCUUUAACACCUUUGAAUUCACGAUAGUUAAGAAACAAACUGGGAUUAGAUACCCCACUAU
rnacentral:rRNA from 1 species